rnacentral:lncRNA from 1 species
GAAUUUUUCAUCAAAUUUAUUUAAAACAAAUAAUGUCUGUAAUCCGCACCUAUAAGAAUUUUGUUGAUCCCGCUGCUUCGACCCGAAAAAUGUUACUACGUCUAACCGGCUAGAAAUCUGGAGUAUAUUUAAUAUUUUAUACUUCACAAUUUAACGUAGGUACAUUUUUUAAUACUGAAAGUAAAUUAGUUUAUGAGCACGCGUUUGGCGCGUUUCCAAUAUCAAACUAUUAAAGCAAAACACCUUCGAAAUCAUUACUAUUACAAUUUACAAAUUUAAUUCAUAGAAAAUAACUUAAAUCUGCAUAUUGUACUAAAAUGUACAUUAGAUAGGUACCUACUAAUUGGCAAUUGCCUUGGUUGAUCAAUAUAUUUUAAUUUUUCAGUCUAUAGAUACAUUAUAAAUUAUAAUUUAUAAUCGUUUGAGUGUUAAUUAAUUGUGUCAACUUUCAAUAUUGUUCAAUGUUCGGUGAUAUUUUCAAUCACAGAGACGCGGAAUAAAAUAAUAUAGCUUGAUAAUUCUGUACUUAAUAGAAAUAUGUGGUGUGGAAUGGUUUAUUCGGAAUGUCAAAUUUUGUCCUUGGUGAUAAUAUUAAUAUUAUUAACCCGCUAAGAUAACAGCUAAACAGCCUGCGGAUGGCGGAUAACAAAUUAACAACACAGGCCAACAGUCACGUGACUCGUUGCCUACCCGUGCAGUCGUGCAAUGCUGCAAAAUGCAAUACCUAUGCAUCAUGAUAAAGAAAAUCAUGUAGUGCCAUGAUACCGUGAUAUAGUCAGAUAGUGGUUACUAUAUACUGAGUUUGAAAUAAUUAAGUUGCUUACUGAAAUGAAUGAUUCAUGCACAUUUACCUCGAUGGAUGCGACCAGUCUCGUGGAAUUCGUUGGAAAAACUGUUGUCGUACGUACAAAACAGCAACACGCUUCUAAAGGCGUCGUUCACACUGUGGAUCCGGUGACAAAAAGUAUCGUACUGCUGAUCGACAAACAGUGUAAGAUAUUUUCUGGAAUAAACAUCAAAAGUGUUCAAUUUGAAGAUUUGUAAAUGUUAGAUGGAUUUUUAAAAACUAAGACUUUUUUACCUGUGACUAUUGUGAAAAAAAAUUUAAAAAAAAAUCAUUGAAUACUCAUUAAAAAAUUCAUGGACAGCAUUAUCAGUGUACUAUUUGUAAAAAAUGGUUAGCUAGAAAGUAUACACUAGAUCGCCAUACGUGAACACAACAUAGUGCAACUACUCCGGAUACUACACCUGCUACUACUCCGGCUAUUACACCUGCUACUACUCCGGCUACUACUUUAGGAACUCCAAAAACAAUUGGACUAUUUAUAUUAUUAUUGUACUGCUGAUCAACAGUGUGAGAUAUUCUCUGGAAUAAACAUCAAGUGUUCAAUUUGAAGAUUUCUAAAUGUCAGAUGGAUUUUUAAAAUCUAAUCUCUUAUUCUGCCAUUUAUAUUUAUUAUUAGACAUAAAUGUUUAUAUUAUUUUAACUAUUAAUUAUAAUUUAUAACAAAUGAUAUAAUGCAUAUUUAUAUAUUAUGUACAAUAUAAAAUAUAGGUAAACUGUGUAAUAUAAAAUAAUAUUUUAUUUAUUUUUUAAAUUGUAAUAUACAUUAUGAAUAUCUGGUUGAA